CAGAAUCGGCUUGCUACAUGCAUUUUGAAAUAUUUGCACAAUGAUUCGCGUGUGUCAUCAAAGGACAGCAGUGUUGUAAAUAGUAGCUUGGCAGGGGACUUGACAGCAAAACCAUUAACUGUGAGUCUCAUUUUCUGUCCCAUUUUGUCCUGCAGAGUUUCAGCACAUUAAGGAUGGCCGUGCAGCACUUGCAAGGAUGGACAGGGGAGUAUCUAUGCCUAAUAUGUUGGAACCGAAAGCAAGUAUCUUCUUCUUUUUGUACUGAUGACACUGUAAUCUACAUACUGUAGAUAGAUCUCUUUUUUAAAUUAUAUAUUGUUCACUUCUUCAAUGGAGUUUUUUUUACUGUAAUAAAUCUCAUCCGGAUAAAAAAAACAAAAACGUCCGAGGCGAUAUGGCAUAAACCCUGUAGUGUGGGGACAUUGGUGGAAGAAAUACUUUUGCAGGAAGUGAAAGGCUCACCUUAGCCGGGUUCAGCAUGCUGCUUUAGGAGCUGCCAAGUCACUCUAGCGCUUAGCAUGCCGGCUUCUCCAUGCUCAUCUGCACAUAGCUUUGAUUUAAAGUGGCUGGAUACUGUAUGCACCAUACAGUAGAGAAUCCAACGCCCAAAUUGUCAUCCAAACAACUCAUAUCACUAUAUACUGUGUAGUAUAUAAUGGCGUAUAUGCAUUACUGUGUGGAUAUGAGUUGGUGAGAGGCUUCAAAGAACUUCUAGUUGCUUAUCAUUGAAUGUGAUCAAUUUCUUCUUGCACCAAAGGAGUUAGCUAUUUAAAAAAAAAAUCCAAACACCUUAGAUUUCCAGGACAGUCAUACCCAUGUGGAUUUACUUGGCCUACAUUACAGUUUUGUUUUGUUUUUUAGUUUGCUUUAAAUUAAUCUAAAAAUUACAGCCUGUUACGUAACUCUGUUUCCAUGUUUUCCCCCUAAUCUGUUGCACGUUUCGGCACCCAAAGUGAAAGAAAGUGCACACGUCAUAGCACCUGCAUUUCCCCAGUGACUUAAAAAAUACAACAACCCAGUCAGCCUCCUGUCACAUACCUGUUCUCCCACCCAGUGCUCCCUGUGUCGCAGUAGAAUUACUAAAAUGUUCCAAUUUUAUAGUUUUGUUUCAUGAAAAUGGUUUGUAAAUUGUUCUGAAGCUGAACUCAAAAGCUUGUAAAUCUGACUUGUCCACUGAUGAAUGUCUCCUCCUGAAGGUGUAUCCCUAUGAAAUGCUCAUGAUAACCAGUAGAGGGAGAGCUAAACUGCCCAGGGAUGUGGACAGAACCAGACUGGAGCGCCACUUAGCACCUGAAACGUUCUUUGACAUCUUUGGAAUGGAGAUCCAGGAGUUUGACAGGCUUCCCCUGUGGAAACGCAACGACAUGAAAAAGAAGGCCAAGCUCUUCUAGCACUCAGAGCCGCAUGCAUUUUCUGUACAUUCAGAUAGCACACAGCAGCUGUAAUCUAGAUGUAGGUUUUGGUUUAUUUCCUUUUCUUCUAUAUAUAUUUUUUGUUCUUUUCUUUUUUUUAAAUUUGAUUGUUUUAACCUGACAUAAUCACGGAAGCCAUGAACUGGACUCUUUGCUCUGAUGCUUCCUGAGACUAUGUACUGAAAGACUUGUCCUGUUAGACUUGCACUGUCAACGAUGAGCGGGAAUCUCUUCCGUGUUCAAAAAUGACAAAGAAUGAGACUGGACGAUGAACAGGGUCAUGUUCUUUGGUUUGAAUGCGCUUGUUUUACUUCUUGCUUUGCUUCGAGUGGAACCGCUUUUCUUUUCUUUCUUGCUCGUUUCUUCCUACUAUUUCUCUCGCUGUUGAUUCCUGUGGAACUUUGUAAGUACAGUAGAACCUCAUGGCGCUCAUUACAAAAUGUCCAUGCUCGUAGCUUGAACAUGUGUCAGCUUACCCUCGCUUGGGCUGAAAAGGUUUUAGUCCAAAGUUUGCAAGAAUUGGCUCAGUGAGUCUUUGAAUUAAAAAGAAAAAGUCACCGGGAAAGCAGUUAGCUUACCCAACAGCUGUUGCAUCAUCCAAGCACCCGCAUAUCACUAGUUUCCUUCCCAUGGCUACGCACUGAACAUCCGUUUGACCCUGACAAAAAAUGUCUCUCUUCUCAGGCUCUCAUAAACACGGCCAGACACUCUCCCUUUACAUGGAUUGGAAGUACAAAUCGUAUUAUAUUUUAAUGCCAUAUCAAAAGCAAAGUGACAAAUAGCUAAAACCCCUAAUGUGUUUGAAAAUACUGUUUUAUAUAAAAAAAGAAAAGAAGAAAAAACCCCACACUGCCAUUUGUUGUAUUGAAUUCUAAGCCAAUAAAGCUUUAAAUCACCAUGAAACAUAAUGAUCCUCUGCUAAACCAAAGGUACCCACCGCCUCUUUUCUGUUUGUUUUUCUUUGUUUGCAUUUCACCAAUAAACACACGAGCUCAGUGAUGUAA
ensembl:lncRNA